rnacentral:rRNA from 1 species
UACGAAGGGGGCUAGCGUUGCUUGGAAUCACUGGGCGUAAAGCGCACGUAGGCGGCUUUCUAAGUCAGGGGUGAAAUCCUGGAGCUCAACUCCAGAACUGCCUUUGAUACUGGAGAGCUUGAGUCCGGGAGAGGUGAGUGGAACUCCGAGUGUAGAGGUGAAAUUCGUAGAUAUUCGGAAGAACACCAGUGGCGAAGGCGGCUCACUGGCCCGGUACUGACGCUGAGGUGCGAAAGCGUGGGGAGCAAACAGG